GAUGAACGCUAGCGGCAGGCCUAAUACAUGCAAGUCGAACGGUGUCUUCGGACAUAGUGGCGCACGGGUGCGUAACACGUAUGCAACCUACCUUACAUUGGGGGAUAGCCUUUCGAAAGGGAGAUUAAUACCGCAUAAGACAGUAGCUGGGCAUCCAGCAGCUGUUAAAGAUUUAUCGAUGUAAGCUGGGCAUGCGUCCAAUUAGCUAGUUGGUGAGGUAACGGCUCACCAAGGAAAUGAUUGGUAGGGGAACUGAGAGGUCAAUCCCCCACACUGGCACUGAGAUACGGGCCAGACUCCGACGGGAGGCAGCAGUAGGGAAUAUUGGGCAAUGGACGCAAGUCUGACCCAGCCAUGCCGCGUGCAGGAUGAAGGCGUUAUGCGUUGUAAACUGCUUUUAUACAGGAAGAAACGACUCUUGCGAGAGGCAUUGACGGUACUGUAUGAAUAAGCACCGGCUAACUCCGUGCCAGCAGCCGCAGUAACAC
rnacentral:rRNA from 1 species